AAGCUGCGGCAAUGUCUUUUAGACAUUGGGUAGGGGAGCGUUCUGUAAGCCGUUGAAGGUGAAUCGUAAGGUUUGCUGGAGGUAUCAGAAGUGCGAAUGCUGACAUGAGUAACGACAAAGGGGGUGAAAAACCUCCUCGCCGGAAGACCAAGGGUUCCUGUCCAACGUUAAUCGGGGCAGGGUGAGUCGACCCCUAAGGUGAGGCCGAAAGGCGUAAUCGAUGGGAAACGGGUUAAUAUUCCCGUACUUCUGACUAUUGCGAUGGGGGGACGGAGAAGGCUAGGUGGGCCAGGCGACGGUUGUCCUGGUUCAAGUGCGUAGGCUUGAGAGUUAGGUAAAUCCGGCUCUCUCUAAGGCUGAGACACGACGUCGAGCUACUACGGUAGUGAAGUCAUUGAUGCCAUGCUUCCAGGAAAAGCCUCUAAGCUUCAGAUAGUCAGGAAUCGUACCCCAAACCGACACAGGUGGUCGGGUAGAGAAUACCAAGGCGCUUGAGAGAACUCGGGUGAAGGAACUAGGCAAAAUGGUACCGUAACUUCGGGAGAAGGUACGCUCUUGAUGGUGAAGUCCCUCGCGGAUGGAGCUGACGAGAGUCGCAGAUACCAGGUGGCUGCAACUGUUUAUUAAAAACACAGCACUGUGCAAAAUCGCAAGAUGACGUAUACGGUGUGACGCCUGCCCGGUGCCGGAAGGUUAAUUGAUGGGGUUAGCGCAAGCGAAGCUCUUGAUCGAAGCCCCGGUAAACGGCGGCCGUAACUAUAACGGUCCUAAGGUAGCGAAAUUCCUUGUCGGGUAAGUUCCGACCUGCACGAAUGGCGUAAUGAUGGCCACGCUGUCUCCACCCGAGACUCAGUGAAAUUGAAAUCGCUGUGAAGAUGCAGUGUACCCGCGGCUAGACGGAAAGACCCCGUGAACCUUUACUACAGCUUGGCACUGAACAUUGAACCUACAUGUGUAGGAUAGGUGGGAGGCUAUGAAGACGUGACGCCAGUUGCGUUGGAGCCGUCCUUGAAAUACCACCCUUGUAUGUUUGAUGUUCUAACUUAGACCCAUUAUCUGGGUUGAGGACAGUGCCUGGUGGGUAGUUUGACUGGGGCGGUCUCCUCCCAAAGAGUAACGGAGGAGCACGAAGGUGGGCUAAUCACGGUUGGACAUCGUGAGGUUAGUGCAAUGGCAUAAGCCCGCUUAACUGCGAGAAUGACGGUUCGAGCAGGUGCGAAAGCAGGUCAUAGUGAUCCGGUGGUUCUGUAUGGAAGGGCCAUCGCUCAACGGAUAAAAGGUACUCCGGGGAUAACAGGCUGAUACCGCCCAAGAGUUCAUAUCGACGGCGGUGUUUGGCACCUCGAUGUCGGCUCAUCACAUCCUGGGGCUGAAGUCGGUCCCAAGGGUAUGGCUGUUCGCCAUUUAAAGUGGUACGCGAGCUGGGUUUAGAACGUCGUGAGACAGUUCGGUCCCUAUCUGCCGUGGGCGUUGGAAGAUUGAAGGGGGCUGCUCCUAGUACGAGAGGACCGGAGUGGACGAACCUCUGGUGUUCGGGUUGUGUCGCCAGACGCAUUGCCCGGUAGCUAAGUUCGGAAUUGAUAAGCGCUGAAAGCAUCUAAGCGCGAAGCGAGCCCUGAGAUGAGUCUUCCCUGACAGUUUAACUGUCCUAAAGGGUUGUUCGAGACUAGAACGUUGAUAGGCAGGGUGUGUAAGCGUUGUGAGGCGUUGAGCUAACCUGUACUAAUUGCCCGUGAGGCUUAACCAUACAACACCCAAGG
rnacentral:rRNA from 1 species